rfam:Camelus ferus unplaced genomic scaffold scaffold743, whole genome shotgun sequence.
GAGGGUAGAGCUCAGUGGUAGAGUGUGUGCUUAGCAUGCAGGAGGUCCUGGGUUCAAGCCCCAGUACCACCA